GACUUUUAGCAGUGGAUUACUGGGUUCCUGCGUCAAUGAAGAACGCAGCUGGCUGUGAGAAUUAAUGUGAAUUGCAGGUCACAUUGAUCAUCGACACUUCAAAUUCACUUGCAGCCCGGGUUCCUCCCAGGGCUAUGCCUGUCUGAGCGUCG
rnacentral:rRNA from 1 species